GCAGAAAACUAAUUGUGGUUUCCUGUUUCAGCUAGCUGGAGUUUUUAAUCAAGACAGCAGUUAAUGGUAUUUUGGAAGUUUACAAAAUAUAACUGCUGAGGCUCCAGCCUUGUGAACUGAGACUAGUGGGUCAUUGUCCUCUCUGGGAUGAGAAAGCUACUGUGGGACCACUUCGAACUGCUGAGGAACCAUCCUCAAGGACAAAACAACUAUGGGACACUUAGCCUCUUAAGGGUACUGGAAGGGAAAAGUGGAAGAUGACACCAUGCUCCGAUGGACUGUCACCUCUUCUUCUGGGGACUGCUCUAGACAACUUGUCCGCUUGAAGGGUGUUUCUACAUUGCAAGACCACUUUGAGCCCUAAGGCUUGCCCCAGCCUUAGAGAAACUGUCUCUACUGUGCCCUCCCAACACCCUCAAGAUUCAGUCCUUUCUCUGGUGCAGGGUACUGUAGUUCUGUGUCCUAGCUCAGAGAAUAUGCUGCCGCUUCUCAGGGGGAAGUCACGGAAAGUAAAACCGACCCAAAUCUAGGUAUAGGCUCCUCCUCAGGGACAGUCACCCUCGGUCACCUUUUUACUGUUAGUGUUCAUUUAACACAGUGGAUGCUUUGACUGCCUUCCUGGGUCACUGCAACAGGCACUGACAGUUUGCUGGGCUCUGCUCUAGCACUUUCGGAAAUCCAGAUGCUGGCUGUGCUUUCUGGCCCCACCUGCACAAACUUACUACAGUGACUGCAGUGAGGGAUGCUGUAUCCUUUGCCUCAAAUGAGCUUGGCUCUCGUACAGUUCAAUUGCUAUGCAUGUCAAUCUCCAGAGACUGGUGGUUGGUGGAUUGCUUCCCUGUUCGGCUUCCCUUCAGUCUCCCCUGCCUCCUAUACUACCUCCCUUCACUUCCCUCUCCCUCCCCUCCCCUCCCCUCUCCUCCCUCCUCCUCUUUUUCCUUCCCUCCCCUUUUCUCUCUUCCCUUUUCCUAUCC
rnacentral:lncRNA from 1 species